rnacentral:rRNA from 1 species
ACGCUCGACACCUACGGAGGCAGCAGUCGGGAAUAUUGCGCAAUGGAGGAAACUCUGACGCAGUGACGCCGCGUAUAGGAAGAAGGUUUUCGGAUUGUAAACUAUUGUCGUUAGGGAAGAAAAAAGACAGUACCUAAGGAGGAAGCUCCGGCUAACUACGUACCAGCAGCCGCGGUAAUCUGAGCGGGCUGGCAAGGC